UACGUAGGGGGCAAGCGUUGUCCGGAAUCAUUGGGCGUAAAGAGCGUGUAGGCGGCCCGGUAAGUCCGCUGUAAAAGUCAAAGGCUCAACCUUUGAAUGUCAGUGGAUACUGUCGGGCUAGAGUCCGGAAGAGGCGAGUGGAACUCCUGGUGUAGCGGUGGAAUGCGCAGAUAUCAGGAAGAACACCAACGGCGAAGGCAGCUCGCUGGGACGGUACUGACGCUGAGACGCGAAAGCGUGGGGAGCGAACAGG
rnacentral:rRNA from 1 species